UGAUGGUCCCCAAGCUCCCAGAGUCCCCAUUGGAAGGAUUCCGCAGCGCUGCCUCUAUUAUUAUACCGUAAAUCUUUUUAAAUUCUGGAACUAAUUAUAUAGAGGAUAUGUCUCAAUUUGUUCUGCAUUAAUGCCACAGUGGGGAUGGAGGCCGAGCCGUGGCCAGAGCAGAUACGUAGGCCCAUGAAAUUGAUGAACUGAGAGUUGCUCGCAGUCCUCAGCGCACCAUCUGGAAUUCUAGUCUGAGGUUACAAUUAGAACUCCUGACCCCAGAUUCAACUUUGCAAACAAC
ensembl:misc_RNA